rnacentral:rRNA from 1 species
UAGGGAAUCUUCCGCAAUGGGCGAAAGCCUGACGGAGCAACGCCGCGUGAGUGAUGAAGGUCUUCGGAUCGUAAUACUCUGUUAUUAGGGAAGAACAAAUGUGUAAGUAACUAUGCACGUCUUGACGGUACCUAAUCAGAAAGCCACGGCUAACUACGUGCCAGCAGCCGCGGUAAUACGUAGGUGGCAAGCGUUAUCCGGAAUUAUUGGGCGUAAAGCGCGCGUAGGCGGUUUUUUAAGUCUGAUGUGAAAGCCCACGGCUCAACCGUGGAGGGUCAUUGGAAACUGGAAAACUUGAGUGCAGAAGAGGAAAGUGGAAUUCCAUGUGUAGCGGUGAAAUGCGCAGAGAUAUGGAGGAACACCAGUGGCGAAGGCGACUUUCUGGUCUGUAACUGACGCUGAUGUGCGAAAGCGUGGGGAUCAAACAGG